rnacentral:lncRNA from 1 species
GUGUUAGACACUCUCACAUAUGCAGCAUGUAUUAUUGAGACAAUAGCAAGGUCGGUCCCCAUGAUCCUUGCCACAGUGCUGACAAGUCCUAUCGUGUUUUGUUACCGGAGCCUGAGAAGGAGCCUGAGUCACUGGUCUAAGCCUCUUGUUCUACAGAACCAGUGCAGUGGGUGCUGAUAUGCGGUAUGAAAUCGGGGGGUCUGAAAUUCCCCAUUGCUGUAGAAAAGAUGCAAAAG